GUUUUGAAAAUAACAUCCUACACACGCCACUCUUACUUAACCGCACUUUGCUGAAAUUAUCAAAAUUUUAGUUCUCUCACUCUCACUCACUCGUCGUUCGCAGUUCGCACAAACAAAGCUCUGUUCCGCUCCGCUCUGCUGCUGGAUCGGGCGGCGGUGACAACUUCGCCGUCCGGUCCGGUGGAGGUGGAGCUGCUGUUCUUCUUCUUCGCAUGAUCUGUCUUCUUGUGUUGUUUCAGAUCUCGCUUCCUCUGGUAAACGGUACCGCAGAGGUUGCAGAUCUUCUGGACACACAUAAUCGGCUCUAUCACGGUGACGAGAUGUGCAACUUUUGCGGUACCGUUUACCAGAGGAAGCGAGAUCUGAAGCUACACAAAAAGACAGAUCGCAAGAAGAAAAAGAACAGCAGUUCUAUCGGACCGGACGGCGAAGUUGUCACCGCCGCCUCUGGCUCCCCCUCCACUCCUGGACCGGACGGCGUUUGAAGUUACGGAGAGGCGUUGACACCAUCAUUCCAUAUACCAGCAGUCCAUUUAUAUACCAUUGUAUAUUUCAGUACACCAUAUGUACUGGUAUUAACAUAUAUUAGCGUACGUAUAUUCUGAUGGUAGGUACAUACAUUAGGUAUCAUUACCAUUUACUUAGGCAAUAUGUCCUUGGCAUAUGACCAUGCUUAGAUAUCAUUACCAUUUUUACUUAGGCGAUAUGUCCUUGGCAUACGACCAUACUUAGAUAUCAUUACCAUUUACUUAGGCGAUAUGUCCUUGGCAUAUGACCGUACUUAGGUAUCAUUUCCACUUACGCUCAUGUCCUUGGCAUGAUCAUACUUAGGUAUCAUUUCCAUUUACUGAUUUACUUGGCUGAUAUUACCUUGGCAUGACCAUACUUAUGUACAUAUAUGAUUCAGAGUAUUUUACAUUUGUCAUUGUGGAUCCCCCUCCCCCUUUUUACAUGCUUUCUUUUCUGCCAUUGAGGAAUUUAGCCUUAUUGAAAACAAAUGGAGAAUUCUUCAUGUUUGUGAAGAUAAGUAAUUGGUUUAUCCAGUUGAAAACGAAAUCUAAUACUCAUACAUUUUGAUCAGUGGAUAGUGAUUUGAAAUAGUUGUUUGUUUCAAUAGAUAAGUGUCAAAGGGAAAUGGUGUGUCAUUUCCCUUAAAAGAAUAGACUUAAGAGUGGGUUGGAAAGGAGACUGAAAUUAAUUGAAGCUGCAUGGGAGAGAGAAGAGCAAUGCAGUGGGCGCAGUGAAAAAGAAAAAGGGUGCAGUGAGAGUAUAUGAGAGCAAAGAAAAUAGGGGAAAUUUCUAUAGCUGUGAGACGUGUACAAGUGAAGAUAUAUUUGAGUUUUUCUUUUGUAUUUGGUGUGGAUCUUUAGUUGGAUAUAAACUUGAGAGGAUGUUGUGGGAAUUUGAUCCAUGGUUUUCUCUUCAAGGAGAAAGGAUUUCCGCUUAAAUUUCUA